UUGCUCGCAGGACCGCCCGGAUCGGAUGCUCUUUCACUUGGAAUUCACUCGCAAUCGCUUUCUACUUAUCGUAACAGUUCUCCGCAACGAUCGAAGAACUCGCAGGCCGUCAUUUUUCCACACAAAACAAGACGAGAAUUGGCCGUCGUCGCACCGCUCAGCGAAUAAAAAUUUUGUGACUGAAAUUUCUGUGCAGUGGAAAUGACGUCCCGAGGAAGAGUAGGAGCAGCGACGGACGCUAGCGCAACAUAACGGGGUGUCUGCGACGAACAGUCACUUUGGUGUUGAGUGGAAGAUACAGAUGGCGGCAUUUGUUGGUUCAUAAUUGGCAGAAACCUUUGGAGCCGGAAUUUCUAACGUCACGUACGCGGUUUUCACGGUAGGCGCCGUUGCUCCGCCAGGAAGGAGCAACACACUUCGCCGCGUGUAAAAUAACACAGUGCUCCUGCCGGAGUCUUUCCUUGACCACCGACUGCUACGCAUAUUCUAGCAAUCGUCCAUCGCUAUAACUUCCAUAUCAAAGAAAUAAAGUUGUUGUAAUAAUACGACCGGUUUUAUUGUAACAGUUUAAAGGAUACUCGGAAUGGUACUUCGAGUUCUCAACACUCGCUAGUGCACAAUAAACAGUAAUUUACUCUACGAAACGUCAGAGAUUCCGAGCAGAAAAUCUUAAGGGGAGAAACCAGAUUAGGAUGUUUUCAGAAUCUACUUCAGCCUAGCUAUCCCAGAAUACGCUGCAGAAAUGUCAAAGCGAAAUUCAUGGUCCUUUAGAUUUUGCACGGUAGAAGCGAGAUAUUCUCGGGUUCAGGCUCAGGGUCUACCUCCCCGGAGGUAGUCGCUUUAUGGUAUUAGUCUGAUAACGUAAGCCGAUUUUCAUGUCUUUUUCGGGAGCGUUUUUAUUUGAAGGGAAAUAAAAAUGAAUCGUUUUGGA